UUGCACCCACUUCAGCAGCACAUAUACUAAAACUGGAACAAUACAGAAAAAAAUUAACAUGGCCCCUGUGCAAGAAUGAAAAUAUUUUGACUACAUUAUAAUAAAAUAUGA